rnacentral:rRNA from 1 species
UCGGCCGGGUUAAAUUAAAUAUGAGAAAUAAAGGUUUAAAAAAAAUUAAAAUUAAAUACUUAAAGGUUCACUGCCGAGAGGCAAAAUUAUUAUUAUUUUAUAAGUUUAGGUAAUCUAGUACUUUUUGUAUAACGGCUUAGUAAAUUUGAUUUUAAUUAAAAUUUCUCCCGAAAUCUUUUGAGCUAGCAUGAAUUUGUUUAGAACUUUACUGUUUUGUGUUUCAAUACAUUUAGGAAAAUUUUUGUUAGUGGCUACAUACCAUACGCAAAAGAUGAUAGCUGGUUUCUUACUAUUUUCGCAUUAGCGUUUAAAAACUAGAUCUUUCUAGUUUUUUAGAAUUUAAGGGUAAAGCUCUUUUUUCUACUCAACAUAAGUAAAAGUAUAAUAUUUAUGUAGGCUUUAAAGCAGCCCCCAUAUCUAAUUAAAGCGUUAUAGCUAUAGGUUUUAAGAUACUUAAAUCAAAAUAAUGUGUGUGAGUUUACUAGUAAGAUACUUAAUUUAAAUUUAGUAAUAAAGGUGAUUUUGCUAAGAUUAGUAUUAAUAUAGGUUUUAUUAAAAAAUUGUGAAAAAAAUUAAAAAGAGUAUUAACUUUAAUUUGGGGGAAGGAACUCGGCAAAAUUUUAACCUCGACUGUUUAACAAAAACAUUGCUUCAUGAAAAUAGAAUAUGAGGUUUACUCUGCCCGGUGACUUGCGAGUUAAACGGCCGCGGUACCCUGACUGUGCUAAGGUAGCGUGAUAAUUCGCCCUUUAAUUGUGGGCUUGUACGAAUGGGUUAACGAGGGUUAAGCUGUCUCCUCUUUAUCAGUAGAAAUUAAUUUUUAGGUGAAAAGGCCUAAAUAAAGUCACAGGACAAAAAGACCCCAUAGAGCUUUGUUUUAUUAAAAUUUAGUGGAGGAAUUACUAAUAUUUUCUAUUAUAUUUUAUAUAACUUAACUGGGGCGGUUGAGGAAAAUUUUUAUCUUCUUUUUAUUAUUCGUUUAUGAGACUCACAUUUUUGAUCCUAUUUUAGAUUUAAGAAAAGCUACCUUGGGGGUAACAGACUAAUUUUUUUUGAGAGUUCGUAUUGACAAAAAAGAAAAAAGUACCGA